rnacentral:lncRNA from 1 species
AUGCUGAAACUAUCUAUCAAAUGCGUGAAUCACGCUAUUUCACGAAGGCAAAUUUCACAAAGCCACUAUUUUACGUGCUACGGUAAUCUUAAAAAUCUUAAUGGCGUAUCUUAUGCUCAUUCAUCUCAUUACUCAACCGAACCGAGUUGCUUUCAAAAGUCACCAGACUCGGUCAGAAUUUACGAAGGUCCAUUGGCGACCAGGCUGAGGAGGACCAAAUUAUUCUCGUUUACCACAAGUGCCAUUGGCAUAACAGGGUUUCCUGUGGUAGCUGAACAAAUUCAAAAAUUUCCAGAGAAAACUGGGUGGUAUUUGGCAGUUCUUUCGGUCAUGUCUUUUUUUCUUUCGGAACUCCAGUUCUUCUACAAUUGUUGGCAAAUAAAUAUAUUUUAUAUAUAGAUUACAACCAAUCAAAAGAUCUCUACACUCUAUACACCUACACGUUAUUCUUUGGCUUGAAGCCGGUAAGUGAUGUCUAAUUAUGAGCUUACAUUUUUUCAUAUAUACUUCUACUCCUCUUGAUGGCGGUCAUGCGCCAAAAAUGGACAACUUUUAUUGCUAACGAUACUGUAGUCAAACUGGAUUAAGUCAACCACAAUUCAAGUAAAGACAGUAGGUUGGAAUUUUUAGCCAACAUGCGUGACAAAUCAGCAUAAAACUGAAAAUCUCAAUACAGAGGGAGAAAGCUCAUUCGAGCACAAUUUUUCCUCCAAGAGAUACGCUGUUUGGUGCAAAUCUAGUUACAACCAUUCAGGAAGGCAAUUUCAGAACUCUCCGAGCUUGGUAGCAGAAAAUUCUGGAGGCUGUGCUGUACUAAGGAUGGGUCCAAUUAGACCCGAAACGAGUCUGCAGUUGCCUUCCUGAAUGGUUGUAACUAGUGUUGCACCAAAUAGCAUAUUCCCGGAGGGAAACUUGUGCUCAAAUGAACUUUUUCCCUCUGUAUUGAGAAUCUCUGCUUUAUGCUGAUUUGUAAUGCACGUUGGCUAAAAGUUUCAACUUACUGUCUUUGCAACCUGUGCAUCCACUGCAAUCAGUUUGUGACAACUCAAGUAGGCCAAGAGCUGCAUGCAUAGUUGCUCAUUUAACAGAUCCCUUCCUUAAAAUGUCCAUUUUGUUCAAAACUGUGAUUAAAAAUGGUUUUAGGAGGCCCCUUAUGCAGUUUCAAAUGAAGAACUAUUUGAACAAAAUUUAAGUAAAAUUCAGCUGUAUCACCUUGUGAAUAUCCUCGCAAAAUAAGACAAUGUUUGCCUCAGACCAACAUAAAGAAAAUUCUAUGAUUUUGACAAACUUAAAGGUAUCCUAAAUAAUGCUGAAACUGUCAUAUUUUUUAAUAUUUCUGGUGACAAAUUAUAUGGAAUCUUCUGCAAGAAUGCAAUUAUAAGAUGUAAUAGAACUGCAGCAUAAGUUACAAAAAAAAGUUAUCUAUAAGCAAAAGUUCUUUAAAUUUUUCCUACCUCUAAUUCAUUUUUAAAGUCCUCCCACAACUUUCCUAACCAUAACUUUUAACUAAAUUGGCCUUUUGAAAGAUAGAUUUUACCUAUGAUCCCUAAUUCCCAUAAAUAUGAUGAACAACUUACAGACCGCUAUUGAUGGGUGCAUUUGAAUAAUUAUUUAUUGUUUUUUAUUCUUACACCAAAAUUGUCUGUCAUUGUACAAGUCGGACAACUUUAUUGCUGUCACAUUCGUAGUUAUAGUUUUAAAGUUAUUAUGAAUUGCAUUUAUAAGGAGUGAACAAUUAUGGAUAAAAGUUCCAAAUACAGCUGUAACUAUUUGAAACUAUUGAAAAAAAUAAUUUACCAGUAAAAAUUAUGUAGUUAAAUGAUGCAAAAGCAAGAAAUAGUUGUGACCCUAAGUAUUCAUUAUUCAGUACCCAACCUGCCAUGUAAUGGGACAUUUUCAGUAUGAGAAGCUUAAUUGAUGACAAGAUUUAAUUUUUUCCCCGUUUUUAUCACUACCUACCCAGGGAAAUUUAUCAAAGAAUAAACCCUCAAUAGGUAUCUAAAAAACCUAUAUUCGUGCACACGUAUCUGUGUAAAAAUCAUUUCUGGAGGGAGUCAAAUUCUUCCAAAUUUGUUCGUUGCCAGCACCUAAUUGCAAAUAGACAGUGAAACUCCCAAACAGCGUAUCUCGAUUUGCGAGUUCCUGUCAUAUUUUGUUUUUUCAAGGAGAAAUUCUCAAGUCCAAGUCGCAAAAAGUUCCUCUCGAUGGGAAGCAAAUUCUGAAAAAAUUUCUAGGAAUGAUGUUGACUUGUUCUCCUUCCUAAAACUGAAGAAGGAGUGGAAAUUUUUAAGGCCCUGUCCACACGAGCGCAGUUCGCGGAAUUUAUUACUCGAACUUGCUCAGUUCCCGGAACUUAUUCCUUGAAACGAGGCAUGCUGUCCACACGAGUUUGCCCGAACUGGAACCGGAACUCCAAUAAAACUAUACAAUUAUUGCAAAAUAAUAGAUUAUUACAACCGCCAAAGUAACAAAAAUAAAUGUCAAGAUAUGUAAAGGACGUAAAAAACAAAAACAAGCAAAUUCACAUCAAAAGAAACAUAUUUAGAAGCUCGCGGAGUACGGGGGAAAUUUCGGGUUUUGGAGGAAUAAGUUUCAGCUCAGCUAAGAAUUUGUUCCGGGAACAAGUUCCUCGAACUGAGUUCCGCGAACCGCACUCGUGUGGACAAGGCCUAAACAUAACUAACAGAUAAGUGGUUUAGGAGUCUUACCUUCAAAAUUUACUCGUUUAUGCAGAUCCUCACAUAAGUGUUUUGAUCUGUAAAAUUAUACCUCAUAUUCUAGACAUUUAUUUUUUUUUAGGGACUGGGAGCUUUCAAGAAAUAUUUGUUUCUGAGAUUGCUUGCUCCUGUCCAAAAAUUUAAGUUUGCUUUAUUAGAAACUUGAAUAAGCUCCCUAAAAACUUUUUGUCUCCCUCAAAUAUAAUAUUCUCUCUCACAGGUGCGAUAACUUUUAGUAUCCAUGAUCAAAUAUAUCAGACUAUUGUUCUGAGAAAUACUGCGCCAUAUAAUGAAAUUCUUCGAUAAGUGUGUCUUUGCUCUUUCCCAAAUUCAUCUUUUUAUGCUUUUUUCUCUAAAAUUUCCGUGUUCUACAGGGCCCAUGUUUCUUUUUUCUCUCAAAAUUUAAUUACUGCAUAAACAAUUUGUUCUUUUCCAGGCUAGUUUCAAUGCUACAGACGUUUCCACUGUCUCAACGCCUCUCGCGUCAGUUUCAAUUCGAGGAAAAGGUUACCUCCUUGAAGCUUCAAACUUCACAGACCUUAACCACUACAAACGGAUGGUUGGCUAUGACAAGGAGUUCGACUUUAGCGAUAAAAAUGAAAUAGAAUCAACCAGUUGUGAACCGAAUUUAAAACGGCCGAAAAUACCCAUGCCAACUCAUCAAACGCCAAAAGCUUCAGAGAGCAUAAAAUCCUCUGACGAGGACAAGGAUCUACCAUUAAAUCUAAGAAAAAGAAACGGAUAGAUUAUGUAAGUGAAAAGUGUGAUCUAUUAGAUUCAUGUUACGUAUUUAAGUGGCUGUGCCGUGGAAUGUUCCCCUUAAUCAGCCUCUUUCUCAAGAUGAAUGAAAAUUUUUCUUUAAAGAAAGAAAACAAUUAAACGUAAUGUCAAGUUUUCAAUGUGCAGUAUCCUUGAUACCUCUCUUGAUUUCCCUGUUUUUUGUUGCCCUGACAAAAAUGUCAGACAUAAUGCUACCAAGACUCAUCUCAUAGGCAACAUUAUCAAGCUCUAUUAAGAAGGGAACCGAAAACAUAUUUAUUCACUGUAGUUAGAUUUGUGCUUGACGUACGGUAUGUAGUCUAUUUUUAAUUAGAACUACAUACUUAAAAUUUAAUCUCAAAAGACAUCAGAUAUUUUGAAAGUGGAUAUUAAAGAAAAUGUGCUCACUACAGGAUUACAGAUUUUGACUUUAUCACAAAUGGACACAUUGAGUCAAAUUACAAAUAUUGAUUUUACUCACAAUUGAACCAAUGAUUUAAAAUAUUUUCAAAAAUGAUUUGCAAUCCUUUUUGCCAAGGCUGUGUAAGAAAAAGAGAUAAAUCCCUAUUUAGGAAUGAAUCGCUGGUAUUUUUUAGUAAGUAACUACUUCAUUGAUUCAUUUUGUUUUUGUUUAUUAACUACAGAAAACUUAACAAUUGUUCCACAGUGCCUUUUCAGUAAAACAAAUUCACAGUGUUGCCCUCUUAUUGUGGCAAAUAGUAAAGUAAAGGUGUUGUCCUCAGAGUUUUGUCGAAGGGAAGUUAGAAAUGAUCAAUUCACUUUGGUACAUACUUCCCGAGCAUGUUUGCAACUUUUUUAAGGCAAAGAAAAUGAAGAACUGCUUUUGUGGCGCCAUUGUAUUAAACAUCUCCUUUAAUUUUUUGCAAACUAUAUCACUCUUAAUAUUAAUCUUUACUAACUUAUAAAUGCAGUAGAAAGUCUUUUCAAAAACUAGCAUAACUCAGCAGUACAAGUUUUUAUACUUGCAAUGUAUUCUCUCUCAGUGUGCACUAUCUGAAUAGGAAGCAAGUUCAUCGUAUCACUGAAGUAAGUCUGAGUCUCUUCUGAAGCAUACAAUCGCCAAGAAGCUGCAUCAGCUGUAUUUCAAAGUAUAUCCGAAAGAGGGAUGAAUAAUUCAGUGUCAAUGAGGCGUUGAUAUUCAAAAUUGAGUACCUUUACAGGUAAGUUGAAAGGGGAUGGAAAACUACCUAAAGGUCAAGCUUAGAUAAUUUUUCAACAGAAUUUCUCAACAUGCGCUAAAAAUCUAAAAUCUGACUAGAAAAUAAAUGUGUCAAAUAAAGAAAUACUUCAUGUAGAUAGACUGAAUAUCAAGCAAUCGAUUAGCCCAGUAUCAAAUUUCUCAAAAUUUCAAGAUCAAGGUAACUUAAAAUUAUUUACAAACUACAGUAGCAGGUAGUGUCUAUAAGUAAAGAGUGUUAUAUCUUAAAAUCAAAUGAAGUCUGGAUUUUGUUGACCUAGUAAUCUCAAUUGCUGCAACAGAGAAAAAAAAACCAAGAAAAAAAUUAGAAACCUGCCACCACGAAUAUUGCUGUAAAUUGAGGUUUUCAAUGAAAAUGGGUCACUAAAACUCUGAACCGCUAAACUUCGAUAACUAGGUUAAAGACUACGUAACUAGGUAACUCAAAACUAGGUAUACUUCGAUGAAUGAUAUUUGUAAAACCAAUAAUUGGGACUAAAACAAGGCAAUCUAGAUUUGCAGAAGAUUUCAGAAGGAGGCGGGCAUUAAACGCAUCCAUUUAAUUACCUAAUCUGAGGUAUAAUUGGACUGAAUUUUGCAAUUUGGACCUAUAAAUUCUGGCUCAUCUAAAAAAACACUUAUGUGCAUAGGGAAACUGAUGGCACAUACGUUGUUUUUAAACCGGGACGGAAUUUAUAGGUCCAA